GAUCCUCAUGAGAGGUUCAGAAUGGUGUUAGUCGUGUCACAUGGAGCCCUGAUGGAAGUUUUGUUGGUGUUGCGUUUACUAAACAUUUGAUUCAUUUAUAUGCAUACACCAACUCAAAUGAGCUAACCCAGCGUAUAGAGUUGUGCAUUGUAACUUGUGGAGAUGAUAAGUUGAUAAAGGUGUGGGAUGCAAAUGGACGAAGACUAUUCACUUUUGAGGGGCAUGAGGCACCUGUAUGUUAGUUCACAAGAUUGGAAGACAAGCCUAAAGAUUCCACCAGCUGAUACACGCUAUAGGACAGAGGUAUGGUUACGAAUACUUUAACUCUGUUAUCAUAUAUAUUCCAAGUGAUUGGUUAGUUAAAUUAUGUAUUAUGCUUUGGUCAUAUAUUUUGUCUGAGAAUUGGGAUCUUUGAGUUUAUACAGAACAGGCACAUCUCUUGUUGAAGUUGAGUCUCUGCAUUUGUUUUAGCUUUCAUUUUGUUGAGUCCUGUCAUCAUCAUCUAGGAGAAUCACAUCAUUUAAUUCUGAUGUUUAUUUUAAUUUUUUUUACUCUAUUCAAUAAUAAAUUAGAUAAGGUCAGUAUUUAUAUUUAAAACUAGAGGGGUUGGAUUUAUCUCCGGUCUGAUUUUAAAACAUUGAUGGUUCAUAUUUAAAGUUGUGUUAUUGACAUGUGGGCAUACUUGACUUAUAUGAUUGUAGUUGCAAAUUACACCUGAACUCGACUAAUUUGAUCACCUUAUUGUAAUUUCUCAUGGUUGGGCUAAUAAAGUUGGUUCAAAGAUGCUUUGGUUGCUGAUCCACUGUAUACCUAUUCAGUUAUAUGCUAUUGAUAAUCUGUUAGCUGCAUUCUUGUAUUUGUGGCUUAGGCUUUUGUAGUUUAAGUGACCAUACCUCUUAUGCCAUAACUCAACCUCAUGUUCAUGAGAUGUUGCAGCAAGUCAUCUUAAUUUAGAGCUUAUAUGCAAAUGAUGUUAGCUUUUGAUAAGUAAAACAUGUCAUUGUCACAACGAGGUUCUUGCUGAGAUUAAAGAUGAUGAAAUGAUCCAUCUCAUUAGGUAUAUUUUAAUAGUUUGUAAAUAUUGUAAUAGAAAAAGGUCUAAUUUGGUUCUUACUUCUUACAGUAUUUGUGUUAUGAUGUUAUCUUGAUGAAAAAUGAUAUCAGGAAGUGGAAAUCUUUUGACAAAUUUUCACCUGAAAGGAGCAUCAAAUCACCCUUUCCGACUGUUUCAGCUUCCGAACAGGAUCAACCACUGUCCAGUUUGUCUUCAGUGGAAUCUGUGCAGGAUCCUUCCGUGCAACCUGCGAAAGCCGCAUCUUUAUGUGAUACCCUUAAUUAAAUCAUUUGUAAAGAUUUUAAAAUUUGGUGAAAAUCUAAAUUUUAUUCAUUACAGGGCAUAUAUAAAGUGAUCUAUGCUGCUAAUACACCAAAAGAGUUUUGCAAAUGGAUUGAUCUGAAAAAGAAGAAAAAGAUCAACAGGCACAUGAUAAUGAACAUUCAAGCCUUUUGGAUACAUCUGAUGGAAACAAUGAAAAGGUGAAGAAGUCUGUAAAAAAGAUUACAAUGUGUAAUCAAACUCAAAUGAAGUAGUAGAAUUAUACAACUACAAAUUGUCAAAGGGGUUAGCUUCUCAUUUUCUCAUUUAUUUGGCUCAUCAUCUUAAGAUAAAAAGCAUGUUCUGGAAUUUUACGAAUUAUUUCAGUUAUCCUCCCCCGAGGGAAAAGUGCGAAGGUCCAAACUGCACUAAUGCUUACAAGUAUCGGGAUUCCAAGUCAAAGGUUCCUCUUUGCAGUCUUGGUUAUUACAAGGCAAUAGAAGAAGACUAGAUUUAGACAUGGGAAAUGCACGGAUUAAAUAGUGGAGCAAAUAUGAGAGGUCAUUUAUUUAGAGGCCAUUUAGACAGUAAAUUGUGUUUCAAUAGUGGAUUAAAUUGUGUUUCAUCUCAUGGCAAUUGAAACCCUUUGUACAUUUAUUUAGAAGUUAUUUAGACACUAAAAUAAUUUGUAUUCAUACAAUUAUAGUAAUCAAAUUUUAAAUUCUUUAAAAUUG